rnacentral:lncRNA from 1 species
AGACCGCGGGGCGCCGGGGGAGCUGGGAGAGACGGGCGCGAAGGGAGACCGCGGCGUGCCAGGCCCCGAGGGCGAGAAGGGCGAAGCGGGGUCCCCGGGGCGCCCGGGGCUCUCGGGCAGAGAGGGAGCCCCAGGACCAGCCGGCCCGCGAGGGGAGAAGGUGAGGAAGAAGAGGGGGGUCUGGCCGGGCUGCUCGGGGCUGCCGGGGAAGGGGCUGGUGCUGACACCCGUCUCUCCCGCAGGGCGAUCCGGGAGUGCCCGGUGAACCCGGC